ensembl:snoRNA U3 Small nucleolar RNA U3
AAGACUAUACUUUCAGGGAUCAUUUCUAUAGUUUUUGUCUUGAGAAAUGUGUUUCUAGAGUGUAUGGUCUCGCUAACCACGAUGAUGAGUUGUGAUGUUCCCCUUUGAAUGUGAAAGUGACCGACAACCAUGACUUUGUCAUGUGUUUUCUGUUCUUGAUGACUGUUCAUUGCUUAAUUUUGGAGCUCUGAAAAAGAGGAUAUGAUCUGAGUGGU